AGCGCGGCUGACUCCGUUCCUCUGCCAGCAACUGCCUCGCGUCGGAUCCGAGCAGCAACAAGCGCCAAGGAUGCGCUCCAGGAUCACCCUCUGGGCAGGCAGCCCGGCUCGCGAAGAAAAUUGACAAAGACACCAGAGCCGGUAAGAUCCGCUUCGCUUCCGAUUCUGCUUCACAUUUUGUUUCUCUUUCAAUACCGAAGUAAAAACUGGCUGGGAAGCUCGGUUCCAAUGCGAUCUUUAUGGGACCGAUCAUCGACUCUCUUCCUGGCGCACGUGGCUAAGGAUAGGCAAAAUAAUCUUUGGCCACUCUCGCUUGCUCAGUCCUGGGCACCCUGACAUGCCUACUCCGGAGUAAGCCCAGCAGCGCCGUUCAGGGAGGAGGCAGUGGCGGAGAGUUAUUGGUCUAUUUCAUUUAUCUCAUAAAAUUUAUACAUCGCUUGAUUUUUUAAAAAGGAAAAAACCUCAAAGCGGUUUACAAAAAGAAGAAAGCAAUAAAAUUAUGGGCAGAAGCAGUUAAAAACAACUAUUAAAAAUUCUAAGUCACUGAUAAAAAGCACAUGUCAGUAUGCUACCUGGCUGGACAGGCUCGUCUAAAGAAAAAGCAGGUGUUUUUAGCAGGUGCCAAAAAUGAUACAGUCAAUAGGCAGGGAGUUCCAAAGGGCCGUUGCUACAUUAAAGAUUGAUUUAUUACCAAUGUGGAAGGAAUAUUAUGUGGUGCCAGUAAGAGGGCCGGUUCUGCAAAUCAAAGUGGUGGAGAAACGCCCACAGUCCUAGUUAUUACUCCCAAUUUGAACUUUGACUACAACCGACAGCAGAUUUCCUCUUCCCCUCCCCAAACCCAGAAAUCACCUGGAAGUCACUCAAAUUGCCUCCAUCAGCUGGAGAACUUGGCCUUCACAUUUCAAGUGGGCACAGUGGGGAAGAUCUUCUCACUUACUACAGAAGAGAAGGUGCUGGUAUCCCAGAGUUUCCCCUGGCUUUAGGCAGGAAUCCUAACUCCAUUUUCCUGGGAAUAAGCCCCACUGAAUUUAAUAGGAUUUCCUUCUGAAUAGGCGUGAUUAGCCUUGCACCGCAAGUCCCCAUUCUCUGAUGUAACUAAGCAUAUCUAUAUCUAACUGAAAGUAGGUUUCCCUCCAUUAUGAAAGCUGGCGCAAGAGCUUAUUGUUUAUCUAUUUUUCAAAAUGAUCACUUAGUGUAACAAAAUCUCUGGAUGGUUUACAUCCUCCUCCCAUUUUCCUUCCUUUCCUCCCUUGUCUCCCCUGAUUGUAAGGUCUUUGGGGCAGGGAUCUGCCCUGUUAUCCUUCAUAAAAGAGGCAGAUCGAUGACAAUUCAUCUGUCUACCAUCACCAUCUUCGGUGCGACAGCAAGUCUCUCCUAAACUGAAAUAGUCUUCAUGAGUCAGACUCAACGGGACUUGUACAUGCAUGACUCAAUUCAUCUGUAAGAGGUUUUUUAAAAAUUCAUUCAUUCAUUCAUUUAUACAUAACAUUUCUGUUCCACUCUUCUUGUGCUCCUGCACCACAUGGAGUGGCUUACAACAAUUUAAAAUUGCAACACAAAUAAAAAUAUUAACAAUCUUAAAAAUUAAUUUGUUAAGUGGGCUAGUGUGGAAAUACCAGAGCAUCAUUUGGAACCCUAAUUUUUGAUGUGCACCAGUCCUAUAAGGAGCAGUAGAAAGAGCUGACUGUGUUCAAGCCCAGAGAAGAGAAGAAUCAGGUGAGGCAUAAUUUCGUCCCCAAAGACCACGGGAACUGUAGUUUACCACUCACAGCACCCUCACAAAGAGCCGUUCUCAGGAUUAUUUGUGGGAAGCCAUGUGCUUCAAAUGUGUGGUGUGUCUAUCACGACAGUGAUCUUUAAAUAUCUGUGUGAUAGGGUUGUCACGCAGGACAGGCCAAGCGUGUUAUCUGUUGCUUCAGAGGGCCAAAGAAUGGAAAUUGAAGAUUUUGGCUAAAGGUUAGGAGAGGCUUCCUGCUGCUAAAAGAUCCUGGGCAGUGGGAGCAGCCAGCCUCCAGGGGCAUCCUGCUCUCCUUGGCUGGAAGCAUUUCAGCAGAGGCUAGACUGGGUCAUCUGCCAGGGCUUCUGUUACUGCAAGAUCCUGCAUUGAGCAAGAGGGCUAGGCUGCCAGGGUCCCUUCCAGCUCUGACAAUCUAUGACUCUGCAUUUGUUCCUUUGCAAGGGGAAAUUCCCUCUGUGUCUGCUCAGGGGCACUUGGUGCAUUCUGGAGUUGAGUGUUGGCACUGAGCACAGGCACGGGGGACCUGAGACAUGGCACAAAUUAACCUCUUCCUUUGGCACUUCGGCAACCUGGCGGAAAACAAGCAAGGCUAUCUUGCCACUCCAGAUGCUUCCAAAGGAACAGCAACUGCAAGGAAGAGGAAGAGAAGGAGCACAAGGAGGUGGGAGAGAGGCAAUUCUGACAAGUGGCAUCUGUAGAUUGUAUGCACAUGAGCUUGGAGAGUUUGAAUUGCUUCCUAUCCCAUGGCUGUCCUUUUCAGGCUUUCUUGGCCAGACACCUUUUUCUUUCAAGAGAUUCCUGAAGGUUGCAGUUCAUUCUUGAGAUGUUCCAAGGCAUAAGCUGGCAGAAAGCAGAUUUGGCGUCUAUCGGGUAGAUCACUGGGCGAUCUGCAGUAGAUCGGCAAGCCUUUCUGAUUCUAAACAUGUUAACAAAAUUGAACAAUAUUGGACAUAGACAAAUAAUUGCCUGUUUUUCAGCCCCCUGUAAAAUAGGAGCAUUACCUGGUUGUCUUUGGCAAGAUCUUUGCUCAACUCCGCUGGCUGCUUUGAGCUUAGCAACCCUGAUAAUUUAAGAAUUCAGAUGUUGAUCUGUUCUUGUAGAUACAGACUAGCCAGUGCCGGAUUUACAUAUAAGUUAAACAAGCUAUAGCUUAGGGGCCCCCAAAAUUUAAAGGAAAAAAACAACUGGAUGUACAUUUCUAAAAUGUAAGAUAAAAUACAUAUUUUGUUAUGAGCAAAUGGCUUUGGAUACCUAUUAGGUCCAUAAAAUACCAUAUAGCAUAUAUUCAACACACAAAACCAGCGACAAUUUGUUGUUGACAGCUGGACAUAUAAAAGGCCCCAUUACCUUCAGUAGCUAAAUCCGUCCCUGAGACCAGCCCAUUGUGUGGCUCAUUCUAGUACCUGACACUGAGCCCGCAUUUUGUAUCUGACUCUUUUCUGGUAGACCAUGAGAGUUCUUGUAAAAAGGAAGGAAGACGAUCCCACCGCAAGCUUGAGGUCUGUCCACCACAGCUGCAGGGUGCCUCUUGGUCCUCACCAUCCCCACCACAAAAGCAGCACACUUCCUACAACGCAGCCAUUGCUUCAUGCUGCACAGAGAAAAUCAGGAGUGGUGGGCAAGUUGCCUUUCAGGGAAGCUCUGCCACCAUUCCUGAGUUUCUCACUGAUCCUGUUCCCUGGUGCACUCUUUGAAAACCUUUCUUUGGUGACCAGCCGAGAAGGGAUAAAGACACUCUUAGGUUGUUCCCCCGAGAUCUACUCCUCAGAGACAAAGGAAGGGAAUUAAGAACAAGACCAGCAGAAGACAAAGUAAAGUGCAGGUACAAUUAUGAAGAAGAUCUGCAGAAGGGACAUGGAAAAGAGUUAAGAGCCUCGGACAUAAGAUCACCAGGUUGAUGGACUAGAUGGAACAGAUAGAAAGGACUGACAGAACCCGAGACCAGGAAGAAGAGACGGUGGAUGAAGAUUGGCAGAAAGUUUAAAAAUUCAUUUAGAGAAAUAUUGCAAAAUUAACGACUGUUAGGAAAAUCUUGGAAUGAAACUAUUAGGCUUUAGUAGAAAUGUUAUAAGGAGUUAUGUAUAAAUAAGUUUUUAAGUUUUAGGGUUUUUUAUGGUAAGAUAAGGCUAAAAUAAAUUAAGACAACUAAAGGACAGAAUACAGUGAAAGAUGGAAAGGAUUUGCUGAGAUAAUUAAUAAUUAGAAUACAAAAAAGGGAGGUGUGAGGAGGUCGAGGAAAUAAGUUAAUGAAGAUAAGGGUAUGGGAAUAUUGGAUUUGUUUUUAAAUUUAUUUUUUUGUUCUUGUUUUUGAUUUUGCUGUAUGGUAUGUUUGGUACUUUUUAUUUUCUUUUUAUUGAUUAGUAUUGUUUAAUCUCUUUGCUUUUCUUUCUUUUCUCUUUUCUGUAACUUUAAAUUCCCAAUAAAUAUCAUU